GCCGUUAUAUGCCUUUAUUGUCACACACUGUUUUAUUGACGUGUGCCGUUUUUAUUUUCGUCUUUAUAAAAUUUAAGCCCGAAUAACUAUUCGGGCUUUUUUUUACUGAUUGA
rnacentral:sRNA from 1 species